AGCUAGUAAUGGAGGCCGCAGGGGGGAAUUUUGGACCAUGCAGGAAACCUGCAGGAAGACAUCCCGAGUGGUUGUAAACGGCUUUAGGACAGGAAAGAUCUUUCCCAGGUGACGGUAACGGAGGGUACCGUAAGAAUAGUGCCCGGUUAAUUCGGUCCCACCAGCCGGGGUAAUAGGGAGGGUCCAAGGUUUAUCGGAAAUCAUUGGGUUUAAAGGGUCGUUAGGGGGGCAAUAAAUUGGGAGGUGAAAUCCCACAGUCAACCCCGGAAAUUCCCUUUAAUAUGGGUAUUUAGGAGUCAAGAGAAGCGAGAGGAAUUAUGAAGGGAGAGGGGAAAAUGCAAGAUAUUUGCAGGAACACCAGUGGGGAAGGGCACUCGAUGGAUUGAAACUGACCGUGAGGUGAGAAAAGGUGGGGGGCAAACCGGAAUAAAAUCCCUGGUAGUUCCCCCCGUA
rnacentral:rRNA from 1 species